GACGAACGCUGGCGGCGUGCUUAACACAUGCAAGUCGAACGGAAAGGCCCUGCUUUUGUGGGGUGCUCGAGUGGCGAACGGGUGAGUAACACGUGAGUAACCUGCCCUUGACUUUGGGAUAACUUCAGGAAACUGGGGCUAAUACCGGAUAGGAGCUCCUGCUGCAUGGUGGGGGUUGGAAAGUUUCGGCGGUUGGGGAUGGACUCGCGGCUUAUCAGCUUGUUGGUGGGGUAGUGGCUUACCAAGGCUUUGACGGGUAGCCGGCCUGAGAGGGUGACCGGCCACAUUGGGACUGAGAUACGGCCCAGACUCCUAAGGGAGGCAGCAGUGGGGAAGAUUGCACAAUGGGCGGAAGCCUGAUGCAGCAACGCCGCGUGCGGGAUGACGGCCUUCGGGUUGUAAACCGCUUUCGCCUGUGACGAAGCGUGAGUGACGGUAAUGGGUAAAGAAGCACCGGCUAACUACGUG
rnacentral:rRNA from 1 species